rnacentral:lncRNA from 7 species
GACUCUGAGCAGGAAGUCUGGUGGCGGGCUGGCGCCUACCGGCUGUCACAAGGGCUGCGAGGGGGCUGGGGUGGGUGGCUGUGGGACAGAGGGGUCUGUCUCCUUACCUGCAGCACGCAUAGCUCUGCAGAACAGGCACUUCAUUGGGCUAGGAAUAGGGGCAUGGGCCGGGAGCACAACACGUCCCCAGGUGGUGUGUCACGUUGGAGCGUGGACACCAAGGCAGGCACCAGGCUAACCAGGCUCUGUUACCCACUGCUGCUACCUUUCAGCAAAUGGCAGCCAUUCCAUUUAGCAGACACAGAAGCAGCGAAGGGCAAAGUACACAUCGGUGGAUUCUUACCUGUUGAAGCAGAGUCCUAAAACGAAGGAGCUCUGUCACGUCCCAGAGGAAAAUUUCAACCCACAUGCGUGCAAUGGAUUGUGGAAUCAGGGGGGACACCCUGCAGGAGGACAAAGCUGCUCUGGGAGAGCUGAGAUAGCAGAGAAGCGUGCUGCGUUCCUUCACAGCUGUGCAGCAGGGGCUGCUCUGAGUUACACUGGAAAAAGGCAGGCUGAAAUUUGUAAGUUGGAUCUGAGAGCUUUCUCUGAUGACAGUGUGUUUACAAGGGUCAGUGUUUAUGCAAGGCCAUAGUGUUUAUGCAGGCACUGAACGUGUGGAGGGACCAAUUGGCCACAGGCUUUUCAGAAGAGAUAGGCAGGGCAGGAGGGGCAGAAGAGUUGCCCUCUAUGUUAAGGGGCAGAUGGAGUGCGAAGAGCCACUUCUCAGAAACUUCCACAAUCAGGUUGUGGGUGAAAAUCUGGGACUGGACCAACACGGGACAGCUGGCAGCCAGGUCUACCAAAGGCCACCUGAGCGGGGCGACCCGCAGCUGAGGCCUUCUUGCUUCAGCUGCAGAAAGUGCUGUGCCUGCAGGCUGUUGUAUGGAUGGGGGAUUUUAACCACCUGGAUAUCUGCUGGGAAAGCAGCGUGGCAAACUGAAAGACCCCUGGAGUGUGUUUGAGAACAUCCUGGUGCAGGUACUAGACAAACCAAGCAGAAGGAAAGCAUCUGUGGAGCUGGAGCUCAUUAAAGAGGUUGAGAUCGGAG